rnacentral:lncRNA from 1 species
GUCAGACAGGACAGGUGACACCUCAUGAGCAGAGAGCGGGAAGAAGACGGCAUGGGUUAUAGAGGAUUAUUCCUCCCUCUGCUUUCGCCGUUGUGGUGCCACGCCGUCGCCGCGGCCAUGUGCGGCGAUCUCGCGGUCUCCUUCUUCCCAUACAGACGCUGUACGGGGCCACGCACGCCUCGAUCGAUCUCCUUGGGGCCGGACGCCGCAGCUUUUGUCUGCCCCGGGCGCGCCUUUCCGGUCGCCGUCGGUGACACCGGUCGACACGAUCAACUUCCCGGGAUCGACAGAGAUCCUGCCUGCCUGCUCCUGCUCCUGCUCGGGGCUCGCCCCCGGCCGGCGUGGCGUGGAAGGUUCGUGCUCGGCUGCCAAAUUCUCGCAUGACCACUGUUCUCAGUUAUCUAGAUGCCCAUAUCGCUAACCAAGGUGGAAAAAGUCUGCCCAUGCACACGUUGGUAGCAACUUAUUCUCCUACCAGCUCAUCUACUCCACGUGUCUAGUACUCCCUCUUUUCUGAAUAUAAGUUUUUUUAAAG